AGGAUUAACGCUGGCGGCGUGCCUAACACAUGCAAGUCGAACGAGGGGGGCAACCCCCGAGUGGCAGACGGGUGAGUAACGCGUGGUCAACCUACCCUAGAGUGGGGAAUAACUAGCCGAAAGGUUAGCUAAUACCGCAUGAUACGUUUUGGGACAUCCCAGGACGUUGAAAGGAGCAAUCCGCUCGAGGACGGGACCGCGUCCGAUUAGCUAGUUGGUGAGGUAACGGCCCACCAAGGCUCCGAUCGGUAGCUGGUUUGAGAGAGCGACCAGCCACACUGGGACUGAGAAACGGCCCAGACUCCUACGGGAGGCAGCAGUGAGAAUUUUCCGCAAUGGGCGAAAGCCUGACGGAGCGACGCCGCGUGUGGGAAGAAGGCCUUCGGGUCGUAAACCACUGUCGAAGGGGACUAUACUGAAGGUACCCUUGGAGGAAGCCCGGCUAACUACGCGCCAGCAGCCGC
rnacentral:rRNA from 1 species